AAAGGUAGCAUAAUCAUUAGCCUAUUAAUUGUAGGCUUGUAUGAAUGGUUGGACGAAAUAAUUACUGUCUCAUUUGUUUUUUUAGAAUUUAAUUUUUGGGUUAAAAGGCUCAAAUUUUUUUAUAGGACGAGAAGACCCUAUAGAUCUUUAUUAUUUUUAUUCUUUUUUUGUUUAGCUUAAUUUUUAUUUUUGGUAUAUUUGUUGUUUUGUUGGGGUGACGUGGAGAUCUAUAUUAACUCUUUAUUUUUUUUUUCAUUUAUUUAUGUUUAUUUGACCUUUUAUUAAUGUUACAANAUUUANAUACCUUAGGGAUAACAGCGUUAUUUUUCUUGAGAGUUCUUAUCGACANAAAAAAUUGCGACCUCGAUGUUGGAUUAAGGUUAUUGUCAGGUGUAGUGGCUUGAUUAUUAGGUCUGUUCGACCUUUAAAUUCUUACAUGAUCUGAGUUCAAACCGGAG
rnacentral:rRNA from 1 species